UCAUAGCUGUGUCUGGAGAGAACGUCAUUCUGACAUGUCGAGCUCCAAACAACAACAUCACAGUUUUAGACUGGAGCAGACCAGACUUGAAAGAUAGCUCUGUCCUUUUUUAUGACAAAGGGGUCAAAUUUAAUACCACCAACCAGCAUCAGUCUUUUAAGAACCGGGUGGAUCUGCAGGACAGAAAGAUGAAGGAUGGAGACGUGUCUUUGAUUCUGAAGAAUGUGACGAUUGAUGACACUGGAACAUACGAGUGUGGUGUCAUCCAGAAAGCAAGAGAUGGUUUGAACAUCAUCAGCAUCAUCACCCUGAGAGUUGUUGAUCCUCCAGGUGAGUGAGAUGGAGGGAAGGAGGAUGGAUCUGCUGGAAUGAAAGUUGGUCUUCCUGUUGGGGCUAUUGUUGCUGCUGUUGUUGUUGUUGGUGGUGGUUUUCUGAUUUACAGAAAAGUUAAACCAAACAAACAGGGUUCAUACCAGCCUCCAGUUAAAAUUCAGCAUGUUUGAAAUGUUUCAGUUUUUCCAGCUGAUCUGAGUCUCCCAGAGAACAGUUGAGGAUAUCCUGAAAUUAAUUUUCAUGUCCUCGCUUUUCUACUCUGAGCACUCAAAGCGCUUUAUACAACAAAUUCAUCCACACGAGCACUUCUUCCAGUCUCUUAAGUGCUCAAUCUAACAUUCAUACACAUUCACACUCCAAUGGAUGCAUCGGAGAGCAACAUGGGGUUAGUAUCUUGCCCAAGGAUAUUUGGCAUGCAGACUGGAGCAGCCUGGGAUCGAACCACCGACCUUCUGGUUAGCGGCCACCUGAUCUACAGCCCGCCUUCCUGUAUGGAAAUUCAAGUGUGCCAGGACUCACAGGUGAUUGGCUGGCCAGGGACCUAUGCCCGCCCAACUGCAUGCAGAUCGGAGUGUGCCAGUCCACACACACCAUUGACUGCUGUGGGAUCCUCGAAUGCAGCGGACCAAUGACAUGGCUGCCUGUGUUUACCUGGGAAUACAAAAGGCUGAGGAGUCGUCGCUCGUGGGGGACUCUUUGAUUUGAGCAGACUGUGUAGGCUGUCCCUCCUGCCUCUGGCCUCGGUUUUUGAGAGAGUGUUCUUGUGUUAUUUUUUUCAAUCAUGUAAGACAAACGAGCUGAAAUGUAACACCAGCAAGUGCCAAAAGACAAUUUUCACAGAUUUCUUCAAAUUGUUUUCUUUGGUGCAAAAAGCAGACAAACAGUCCAGCAAACAUUUUCACAUUUUAUUUUUACAUUUCCAAUAAUUAAUGAUUUUUUUUUUAAAGUUGUAUAAAAAUGAUCCAAAUUAGAAGUUUGGUCUUUAACUCCUCAACGUCUGACCAACAAUCAUGCUGAGCUUUGUAUUUAUCUGUAACGGAACUUUUCCCAAACAAAGAGUUUGUGCUUCAAAUGUUUCUACUGUAAAUAAACUUCCUGUUGAUAUGAUUGUUGUUGUAAAUAAAUCUGAAGCUGGAAUCAAAGUAAUCCAUGUUUUUUUUUUCUUGCAGAUUUCAGACAAUUUUACAAAAAAUAUUAUUUUACCAAUAAAUAUAAAUAUUAAGAAUAAAUCCCAUAAACUGUCAAAGUUUAUAAACACAACAGCUGUUAUAAAUGUUGUAAAACACAUUUAUGUUUUAAUUUGUUAAGCUGGUCGUUUAUGACCACAGAGAGAAAGAACAAAGGAUUUAACUGAUGUGAUAUAAAUCAUGCUCUGAUGUGCAGACAUGGAAACAGAAAACCUCAUUCACAUGUUUCACACAUCACUCUGAUUUUGAUGUUUU
ensembl:lncRNA